CUGCUCAAUGAUUUUUUAAAUUGCUGUGGUAUUUUGACUAUACGAAGGUAUUGAAAUAAGGCUUUAAAUGAGUGCUAAGAGAAUGGUUUUACAAUUAAAAGCUUUCUUUAAUUAAUAAAUUGAAUUUAAUUUUUUUGUGAAGAAGCGAAAAUAAUAAUUAGGGACAAGAAGACCCUAUGAAUUUUAAUUAAAUUAUAUUUGGGGGUGCCUUAGAAUUUAAUUUGGUUGGGGAGAUUAAAAAAG
rnacentral:rRNA from 1 species